AUCCAGCUGACGAGUCCCAAACAGGACGAAACGCGCGUCGAACUGGAU
rfam:Schistosoma haematobium scaffold163_27, whole genome shotgun sequence.